CAGUCGCCGCGGUAAUACGAAGGGUGCAAGCGUUAAUCGGAAUUACUGGGCGUAAAGCGUGCGUAGGCGGUUUGUUAAGUCUGUUGUGAAAUCCCCGGGCUCAACCUGGGAAUGGCAAUGGAUACUGGCAAGCUAGAGUGUGUCAGAGGAUGGUGGAAUUCCCGGUGUAGCGGUGAAAUGCGUAGAGAUCGGGAGGAACAUCAGUGGCGAAGGCGGCCAUCUGGGACAACACUGACGCUGAGGCACGAAAGCGCGGGGAGCAAACAGGAUUAGAUACCCCAGUAGUCCCUGUCUCUUAUAC
rnacentral:rRNA from 1 species